rnacentral:rRNA from 1 species
UUUGUCCUACGGGACGCAGCAGUGGGGAUAUUGGACAAUGGGGGGAACCCUGAUCCAGCGACGCCGCGUGAGUGAAGAAGUAUUUCGGUAUGUAAAGCUCUAUCAGCAGGGAAGAUAAUGACGGUACCUGACUAAGAAGCUCCGGCUAAAUACGUGCCAGCAGCCGCGGUAAUACGUAUGGAGCAAGCGUUAUCCGGAUUUACUGGGUGUAAAGGGAGCGCAGACGGCAGGGCAAGUCUGAUGUGAAAGUCCGGGGCUCAACCCCGGGACUGCAUUGGAAACUGUCCGGCUAGAGUGCAGGAGCG